GAUGAACGCUAGCUACAGGCUUAACACAUGCAAGUCGAGGGGCAUCAUGACGAAAGCUUGCUUUUGUUGAUGGCGACCGGCGCACGGGUGAGUAACGCGUAUCCAACCUGCCCAUGACUCAGGGAUAACCUUCCGAAAGGGAGCCUAAUACCUGAUGUUCUGCGACGAUGGCAUCAGAAUUGCAGCAAAGAUUCAUCGGUCAUGGAUGGGGAUGCGUGGGAUUAGGUAGACGGCGGGGUAACGGCCCACCGUGCCAUCGAUCCUUAGGGGUUCUGAGAGGAAGGUCCCCCACACUGGUACUGAGACACGGACCAGACUCC
rnacentral:rRNA from 1 species